CCUACGGGAGGCAGCAGUGAGGAAUAUUGGUCAAUGGACGAGAGUCUGAACCAGCCAAGUAGCGUGAAGGAUGACUGCCCUAUGGGUUGUAAACUUCUUUUAUCAAGGAAUAAAACGAGGCACGUGUGCCUGUUUGCAUGUACUUUAUGAAUAAGGAUCGGCUAACUCCGUGCCAGCAGCCGCGGUAAUACGGAGGAUCCGAGCGUUAUCCGGAUUUAUUGGGUUUAAAGGGAGCGUAGAUGGGUUGUUAAGUCAGUUGUGAAAGUUUGCGGCUCAACCGUAAAAUUGCAAUUGAUACUGGCAGUCUUGAGUACAGUUGAGGUAUGCGGAAUGCGCGGUGUAGCGGUGAAAUGCUUAGAUAUCACGAAGAACCCCGAUUGCGAAGGCAGCUUACUAAACUGUGACUGACAUUGAUGCUCGAAAGUGUGGGUAUCAAACAGGAUUAGAUACCCUAGUAGUC
rnacentral:rRNA from 1 species